rnacentral:ribozyme from 14 species
AACAUAUUUUUCUGUGUCCAAACUCUUUUUUUCCUUUUUCUUCCUUUUUUUUUUUUUCAAAUGGAUUAUCUUACUUCACAUCGGAAUUUCGUUAAAGUGUCGAAAACAGGA